ensembl:lncRNA
AAUGAGAAGCCUGUGGAACAGCUGAAGGUGUUAAUCGAGCAGUUUAGUGUGAGGUCGCGUGUUGAAUGCUGCCAGGUGCUGCAUGGACCCUUUUCCAUGUGGUAUCCGCAUCUCUCUACAUCCGUCCGCAUGUGCCUCCCGGCCCUGCGGCCUCGUGUCCGCCUCGACAACAUCACCGCGCUUCUCGCAUAUGAGCCAUGUGCAAACCCGGCGGCUGCUGCAACAUGUAGAGCACUGCUGUUAGGACUGGUGUCAGAAACCCCUCACAUAACAGGGCCCUUACUAUGUCGGUUGCCAGGCUUCAGAUGUGCAAAAGCAUGCAUCAUUUUUCACCAGCUCUCCGUUCUGAUAUCGACAAAAGCGGCUGCUAUGGAACAGCCUCUCCGCUUGUUCGUUGGCCUGAACUUCACUGAUGUCCGACUGCUCUCUUUUUCUCGCCUGAACGCAGCGCAGCGGGGAUGGAUUUGCAAGACAAAUGCGGCUGAGUGUGUGCGAGGGAGUCAAGUGGCACAAAAAGGCCGUUUCAGCAAGCCGAGGGGAUGGAGAAAGUCAGCAUUAUACGCACGUCAAAUCAAUCAAAAACAAAAGCGCACAUGAGGAAAAUACCGAGUUUAUGGUUAAAGAAUUGUAUUUUUUCCCUCUCCUAUCAACCAAGAAAUUAUUCCAUAUUCAAACAAUAGUACUUCAUAAAGAAAUAGUCAUAACGUUUACAUUCAGAGGUUUCCGAAUUUUUUUUAAAUUUUGCAGCAUAACGGAUCUCUGUACUGUUCAAAAGAAUCAAAGGAAAGAUUCAAGUAAACAGUUAAUAAACAUGUUACACUAAAACAUUCAACAUUGUGACUUAUUGUCUGAACAUUAAAGUAUAGCUUUCUCAAUGAAGCAAAGAAGACAAAACAUUCAAAGACUGAUGCAUUUGAUUGCUAAGAUUUAUUCCCACGUGUGGCAAAGUAUGGCUUCUGCUAAAUCUGUAUUUAUUCCCCAAGUACCUUACAGUUUUGUAUCUGCUAAUCUAGAAGUUAGCAAUCAUGUUCAAACAUUGAAACUGCAGCAUCCAGAACAGUGUCCUGCUCAGAGAUUGAUGUUACAUUUUUGUGUGCUAUGGACAAGUUUGGUGAGCAGAUAUACAGUAAAUGAGAAUAUUUAUGUUCAUUUACUCAUUCAUCUGUUUCAGUAAAAUGUUGAUUUCAUCAUGAUCUCAUCAUCUCCUUCCAGCUUUACUUGCUGAUAUCAGCAGCUUCCAAUAGCUUGUAGGCAGAAAAAAAACCAAACUCCAGCCCUCGCAGGAAAUGCGAUUAACCCAGGAGUGCUUCAACUCGGCUGGAAGCCCCCUGCAACCAGCUACUGUUCUUUAUAUGCUCUCCAAUGAAGGCCAAUUACUUUUAGUGGGAACUCUGGUGUUGACAUUAUAUGUGUUGUUCUUGUUGAGAUGGAGAGUUGAGCUGUGAAAGAAGAGGCGGACUUGAAGUAGAAUCCCUCCUGAGUCGCUUCAACAGGCAAUAAAAUAUACCUUGGUAACCAUGGAAACUGGCUGAUAUGUGGGAGAUGCCAUUAACAUUUUACAUAUAUGCAGUUUACUUACUUGUUUACUUGUUUCUUUUCCUGAUUUCCUGAAUAAUUACCCUCAUGAAAUUAAAACACACUGUACUGAAAUGUAUUUCUCAUGUUCUGAUAGUCACAAAACAAUUAAGAAUUUCCUUGGAAUCCUGAAGUAAAACAUUUGAA